rnacentral:rRNA from 1 species
UCGUCAGUAAAUGUAGCGUACGGGUGAGUAACACGUGGAUCAUCUACCCCGAAGUGGGGAAUAACGCUGGGAAACCGGCGCUAAUACCGCAUAAUCCCGAGAGGGCAAAGGAGCAAUUCGCUUUGGGAGGAGUCCGCGGCCGAUUAGCUUGUUGGUAGGGUAAUGGCCUACCAAGGCUUUGAUCGGUAGCCGGCCUGAGAGGGCACACGGCCACACUGGCACUGAAACACGGGCCAGACUCCUACGGGAGGCAGCAGUGGGGAAUCUUGCACAAUGGGGGAAACCCUGAUGCAGCGACGCCGCGUGAGCGAUGAAGCCCUUCGGGGUGUAAAGCUCUAUUCGGCAGGGACGAUUAUGACGGUACCUGCAGAAGCAGCUGCGGCUAACUACGUGCCAGCAGCCGCGGUACAUACGUAGGCAGGACGCG